GAGGGGUAGAAUUUAGCGAGGGAGAGAGACUUUGGCUCAAUUAAGUAAAAAGUUAGAUGGGCUCAGUUUUCUUGGGCAAGUCUGGCCUGUUGUGCAAAGCACCCGCACUCCCUGACUCUUCCCCAAACACAAGAGCUAAGGUGGGUGUUCUGUUCCUCCCACUUCUGCCUCCAAAUGACCUGGAGGGAAUUUGUGUCCCAGCUGUUCCCUUCCCUGCCACCUUUGCUCCAGGUGGGAGGAUCACCUGAGUGAGCCUGAGGAGGUCAAGGCUGCGGUGAACCAUGAUCACACCACUGCACUCUAGCCUGGGCAACAGAGUGAGAUCCCGUUUCAAAAAGAAAAAAAUCUGAAUAAACUAUGGACUUUAGUUAAUAAUGUGCCAGUACUAGUUUAUGAAUUUUUACAAAUGUACACUGAUAGCAUAAGAUGUUAAUAACACAGAAACUCGGGGGUGGCAAGGGUGAUAUGGGAACUCUAGUAAUCAUCUGUCUGCUCAAUUUUUCUGCAUAUUUAAAACUUCUAAAAAUUAAGUAGAUUUAAAGAAAAAAGUACUAACUUCUCAGGUGACAUAUGGAUAUAGCAAAAAUUCUAAGAUGCUGAGUAAGUGAAGUUGGGGAAGUGUGCUCCGGGGUCUGAGGUCCCUAAGCUGACAGUCCAGUGAUCCAUGGGGACGGCCUGUUUCUGUUGUCUUCACAGAGCAGGCAGGAGUGGAAUUAUAGCCCGAUUGAGCCCUUCAGCCCUAUAUCUGGAACUGUCACAGGAACAAGCUGACCCAACAAGAUGGCCCCAGGAUUCUCCUGUCUCCUUCAGAGGAAACAGUGCUGGGCCUGGCCAGCUGGGAGCCCCAGUAUAUGCCCAGACUAAGGAAAGGCUUCCAAAAGUGCCUUUUUUAAAAUAUAGAACUUUAUUUUGGUUACUGAGGUUUUUGUUACUGUUGGUUCACAGAAAAGUCAUUUCUUAGAAAAUAGUAACGGCAGCAUUUUUUACAGCGACUCACAUUGGGGCCACCAAACAAGUGCAAAGGACAGUGCCAGGGAUAGAAGAGGCCAGUACUCUUGUGCCCAGUGUUCUCAGGGAGAACCCAGUGCUCCUGGCUCCCUCUACCCCCUCCCAUCCCACCCAACAGAGCAGCACCUAGGGCCAAUAGAACCAGCCACGCAGCCAAGUGCACGACAGUGACCCCAGCAGGCUGGUGAAGGCCCCACAGGAAAGGCCGAGUGGGAGGGGAUUGUUCAGGUUGAGCUGGCCCUGCAUCCAGCCCUCUUCCUCAGGCAGUGGGGUCUGACCUCACCUGGCUUUGGGACUUGGACAUAUUCACAGUACGGUUCAGUAAAGUCCUCUGGGAGCUGGCCUUCCUCUCCUCACUCAGGCCACUAAUCCUACCCCAACCCCAGGCUGGAUCUGGGGACACACAGUCAGAAGUGGCCCUACCUACGGGGAGCACACAGGUGAGUGGGGGGUCAGGCAAUGGACCCAGAUAGCUCCAGGACAAGGCAGAAAGUGCUCAGUACCCUGAGAGGGAGCAGAGAAAGGCCACUGAGGCCCAGAGGGGGAAAGAGGGCAGGGAGAGCUAUGUGGAGGUGGCAGUGUCUCGGCUAAACCUUGAGGAACGAGGACACGGAGAUGGGGGAGAAGGGCAUGCCGGGAGGAGGAAAGAGCAUGAGCCAAGGCACAGAGUGGGGAGGCUUGGGAGGGUCAGUAAAGACCAGCGCUCAUCCAUGAGAACACAGAUGCGAACGAGAGGCCCAGGUACCCUCAUCUGAACAGGCUGAUGCUCAGGAGGGGCGGCUGGUGUGGGCACGCUCACAUGGGGUUUGAAUCCUUCUGCAUUUGGGAGCUCUCUGGGGAUGGAGUAGAGCCUUGUGCAUCCCUGCCCACCCAGCCUAGCAUCUGCCUGCACGCUGCAGCCCCACCUGUUUCAGCAUGUCCCUCUUGUCAUCCCUGGGGCAGCCUUUCCAUGGGGUCUCCUGUUGCUCCCAGGUCCUUCCUUCCUCCCAGGUCCAUGUCCAAGUCCUCAAGUCAACCAAACUCAACUCCUCCAGCCUCCAGAGACAGCUGGGAGGGUGUGGUGGGGUCCCUGGAGGGAUUGAGAGGGAGACAGCUCUAGCAAAGGGGAAAAUUCUGGAGCAGUUGUCUCUCUCCACCUCACUAGAAUCACUUCCCGCCAUCAGAAGUAAAUCUGCUCUUUCCUGAGAAGAGUCUGGGUUUGGUGUGUGUAAAACACAGUUCCUUAGAACUCAGAGAAAAUCCUGACCAAAAGCUUCAGCAUUUGAGCUUCCCCCGCUCUUCACAAUCUUUAUAGACUUCGAGUGACUGGAAACCCACCAGCUUCUAUCCCUUCUCCCUGAAAAACAUUGCCCACUUUCUUCUUGCUAUGGGCUGUGGAGCUGAAGUGUUCUGGAGGUACCGUGUUUUGGAGGCCCGGGACCCAUUUGUUCGAGGGGGAGGGGGAGGGGCGGAGUCUUUUCAGGCAGUAUUUCCACCUUAGCUCCUCUGAGCACCCAUCCAGGCUUGGCCCUGAAGCAGGUCUGUGUCCUCACAGGAUGGUGCAGAAGACACUGCGGUUGCUGUGGUAACCACCUUCCACCCGGGCUGUGAUCCUCGUUGCCAUGGCUGUCACCUUCUGCCCAUUGUGGGCUGCCGAGGGACGUCUGAGAGAAUUUUCAAGGUGGGGCCGUGCUGGUGGGUUCACCAGGCGCCACGUAUCAGACCUGGAGGUGCAAAACGAAAGUCAGUGAACUUCUGAGGGGUGUGCAGUGCUGGCUGAAUGCCCUGCACAGUCUUAACUUGGGUUCCAGAUCGGUGGAUCCAGGUGUUUAAAUCUGGGUGUAGGUUUUAUCUUCCAGUUUAGUGUUAGUCCAAAGAGGUGGGCUGUUGAGAAACUAAGGAGCAAAAGCCCUGCAUUCCACGUCCAGCUCUGCCUUCAACUCUGCAUGUAGCCUUGGACAAGGUCCCUCUGUAGGCCUCAAUUUUCCCGCUUUGAGACACUCUGUUGCCCAGGCUGGGGUGCAGUGGCACGAUCAUGGCUCACUGCAGCCUCAACCUCCUGGGCUCAAGUGAUCCUCCCACCUCAGCCUCCCAAAGUGCUGGGAUUAUAGGCUUGAGCCACUGCAUCCAGCCGACUUCUCCACUUUAAAUAAGGAUCUGGAUAAGAUCAUAGGGUGGUUGUUGUGAGACAGGGUCUCAUUAUGUUGCCCAAGCCGGUCUUAAACUCCUGGGCUCAAGUGAUCCUCCUGCCUCAGCUUCCCAAGUAGCUGGGAUUAUAGGUGUGUGCCACGGUGCCAGCUUUUCCUCUUUCAUUUCUUUUCAGCUCUAUGACCACAAAUGUUUAUAGAAGCUUUAUUCAUAAUCACCAAAAACUAGAAACUACCUAAAUACGCUUCAGCUGAUGAGUGAAUAAACUGUGCAGUACACCCAUACAGGGGAAGACUACUCAGCAAUUGAAAGGAAUGAACGCCUUACAUGCAACACCAUGAAUGAAUCUCCAGCAUGUUAGGCUAAGUGAAAGAAGCCAGACUCAAAAGACUACAUACUGCAGGAUUUCUGGGUUUUUUUUGUUUUUACUUUUAUUUUUUAAUAUAUAUAUAUAUUUUUUCCGAGACGGAGUCUUGCUCUGUUACCCAGGCUGGAGUGCAGUAGUGUGAUCUGGGUUCACUGCAACCUCUUCCUCCCAGGUUCGAGUGAUCCUCCUGGCUCAGCCUCCCGAGUAGCUGGGACUACAGUUGCGUGCCAUGAUGCCCAGCUAAUUUUUGUAUUUUUAGUAGAGAUGGGGUUUCACCAUGUUGGCCAGGCUGGUCUCGAAAUCCCGACCUCAGGUGAUCCACCCACCUCGGCCUCCCAAAGUGCUGGGAUUACAGGCGUGAGCCACCGCACCCGGCCACGAUUUCUUUUAUAUGACAUUUGGGAAAAUGCAAAUCUAUGGGGGAUAGAAGUUGGUGGGUUUCCAGUCACCCAAACUCUUGUAGAGAGCAUGGAGGGCCAGGGAAAAUAAAAUGAUAGUGAAGCUGU
rnacentral:lncRNA from 1 species